GAUGAAGAACGUAGCGAAAUGCGAUAAGUAGUGUGAAUUGCAGAAUUCAGUGAAUCAUCGAAUCUUUGAACGCACAUUGCGCCCUCUGGUAUUCCGGAGGGCAUGCCUGUUCGAGCGUCAUUAAAACUACUCAAGCUAAGGUUUUACCUUCUGCUUGGUCUUGGGUUUGAGGAUUCAAAAUCCUCUCUCCGAAAUCCAGUGGCGAAUUGUUUGAGCUGUAGACGUAGUAAAUCAUUCUACCCGUUGCAAGCGAGAAUAAUAUUCAGCCAUAACCCCCAUACUUUUCUAGUUUGAUCUCGGAUCAGGUAGGGAUACCCGCUGAACUUAAGCAUAUCAAUAAGCGGAGGA
rnacentral:misc_RNA from 1 species